CGCUCAGAAUGAACGCUGGCGGCAUGCCUUACACAUGCAAGUCGGACGGCAGCGCGGGCUUCGGCCUGGCGGCGAGUGGCGAACGGGUGAGUAAUACAUCGGAACGUGUCCUGGAGUGGGGGAUAGCCCGGCGAAAGCCGGAUUAAUACCGCAUACGCUCUGAGGAGGAAAGCGGGGGAUCUUUCGGGACCUCGCGCUCAAGGGGCGGCCGAUGGCAGAUUAGCUAGUUGGUGGGGUAAAGGCCUACCAAGGCGACGAUCUGUAGCUGGUCUGAGAGGACGACCAGCCACACUGGGACUGAGACACGGCCCAGACUCCUACGGGAGGCAGCAGUGGGGAAUUUUGGACAAUGGGGGCAACCCUGAUCCAGCAAUGCCGCGUGUGUGAAGAAGGCCUUCGGGUUGUAAAGCACUUUUGUCCGGAAAGAAAUCCUUUGGGCUAAUACCCUGGGGGGAUGACGGUACCGGAAGAAUAAGCACCGGCUAACUACGUGCCAGCAGCCGCGGUAAUACGUAGGGUGCAAGCGUUAAUCGGAAUUACUGGGCGUAAAGCGUGCGCAGGCGGUCCGCUAAGACCGAUGUGAAAUCCCCGGGCUUAACCUGGGAACUGCAUUGGUGACUGGCGGGCUGGAGUAUGGCAGAGGGGGGUAGAAUUCCACGUGUAGCAGUGAAAUGCGUAGAGAUGUGGAGGAAUACCGAUGGCGAAGGCAGCCCCCUGGGCCAAUACUGACGCUCAUGCACGAAAAGCGUGAGGGAGCAAACAGGAUUAGAUACCCUGGUAGUCCACGCCCUAAACGAUGUCAACUAGUUGUCGGGUCUUCAUUGACUUGGUAACGUAGCUAACGCGUGAAGUUGACCGCCUGGGGAGUACGGUCGCAAGAUUAAAACUCAAAGGAAUUGACGGGGACCCGCACAAGCGGUGGAUGAUGUGGAUUAAUUCGAUGCAACGCGAAAAACCUUACCUACCCUUGACAUGUACGGAACCUUGCUGAGAGGUGAGGGUGCCCGAAAGGGAGCCGUAACACAGGUGCUGCAUGGCUGUCGUCAGCUCGUGUCGUGAGAUGUUGGGUUAAGUCCCGCAACGAGCGCAACCCUUGUCCCUAGUUGCUACGCAAGAGCACUCUAGGGAGACUGCCGGUGACAAACCGGAGGAAGGUGGGGAUGACGUCAAGUCCUCAUGGCCCUUAUGGGUAGGGCUUCACACGUCAUACAAUGGUCGGAACAGAGGGUUGCCAAGCCGCGAGGUGGAGCCAAUCCCAGAAAACCGAUCGUAGUCCGGAUCGUACUCUGCAACUCGAGUGCGUGAAGCUGGAAUCGCUAGUAAUCGCGGAUCAGCAUGCGCG
rnacentral:rRNA from 1 species